CAUGAUUCUAUGAUCCUAUGAUUCUAUGAUUCUAUGAUCCUAUGAUUCUAUGAUUCUAUGAUUCCAUGAUUCUAUAGUCUGCGAUCUGCCUGCAGCCAACGGUUGACCAACCAGGACCCCAUUGGCCUUCUUGGCCACCAGGGCACACUGCUGCCUCAUGGUCAGCUGCUGGUCCACCAUUGGCCAACCAGGACACCAACAGCUCUCUUGGCCACGGGGGCACGCUGCUGGCUCAUGAUCACCCUGCUGGUCACCAGGACCCCCAGGUCCUUCUCCACAGAGCUCCCUCCUUUCUGGCAGAGCCUUGCACUGCGCCUCGUGGCUGUGGCACUGCCCUUCGUAGCAGUGGUUGUUGUUGCCACAUGGAGUUCCAUCUUGCUUAAACACAUCCACAGGGCAGCUGGCUGAGUUGCCAUUGCAGUACUCUGGCAGAUCACACUCGCUCUGCAGGAAGCUCCUGGGGCGAGCCGGCAGUUGGAGGAGCAGCAUCGUUCGUUGAGGCAUGCCUGGAAGUAAACCACACCAGAAGGCUGUGGCUUUAGUUUCUUAUCAGGACACCUCCAGCAUAAAGGAUCGUGUAAUCAGAGGAAUUUAUGGGAGGGAGAAGCCUGCUCUUUUCUGCUGCUCUUCAAGCACUUGGGCUCGCUGCAGUUCUCUGGCACAGGGAAGGACACCUCGUGUCAACAAUGCUGAAACAAUUCCCAUUUUUCCCUCGAGAUGAACACUGCCAUCUCAUCUCCGCUCAUCAGCCAACCUGCACACCGCACAGCGCUGCUCUAAGAAUGGGUUCCUUGGUGCUUCCAGGGUGCUUGGAAACCCCUCUGAGAUGACAGGAGAGCUCAUUCUCCCUUUCUGUCAUUCUCCCCUUCUUUUGCCCUUUCCUUCCUUCCCUUUUUCAACUCUUCCACCUAUAAUUCACCUCAAAAUUCCAAACUCUCCAAAUCCUUCUUGAUGUCAGCGCUGAUGGACUCCAUGAUCUUAGUGUCGUUUUCCAACCUUAAUGGUUCCGUGAUUCCGUGACCCCAAACUUUGUCCCAUAAACAAAGUUAACGAGUUGAUUUUAAGGAUACCUGGAGUAUCCUUGAAAAAGAGAUAUCUUCUCUUUAGCUCUCCUUACAAAGCAAUUUUUAGCUUAAGGAGGGGAUUUGGAAACAGUAAAGGGUUCUUAUUAUUACACAGGUACACAAACCCGGAGGAAGAUGGAAUAAUGGGGCUUUUUGCAAAGACCACAGCUCCCAAAUUGCUGGCAGAGAACUUUAGGUGACCUGGAGAGGCCAGACGAGUAAUGUGUUGUUUUAGAGGGAAGGUAAGAUGUUGUUAAGACUCUUUAUGGGAUGUUCUGGGGGGGUUCUGAAGGGGUGGCUUGGAGGCAAGACCAAAGGUGGAGAGAAGUGAAGGUGGAUUAGGGUGGAACAGGCGUGGGAGGUGGAAAACAGAGGGGCAAAAGGAGCUGUAGUGGAAGGAAGCUCGUGGUUGGCGUGCUUGACCCCAUGUCUGAUGGAGGAGAAGAGCUCUGGCAGCAGCCAGCAGGGCUCUGCAGGCAGGAGGCGGCUUUUCCUGGAGCAGAGCCCUCAGCAGUGAGGUGCAGGGCGUUCUGCCCAUGCCCACAUCCAGUGCACAUGGGGACACGUCAGGGUGAAGGCUGCGUUUUGAUGGAGGGGCACAAAUGGCAGCUCCACGGGUUGCAUGCGAGAUUUUGCUGGCAAAUUCAGCCUUGCUGAAGUGCUGCAACCGCAUGGGUGACAGCCGUGGAGAUACACCGACAGGAUGGAAGUGCUUCUUCCAUUGACUUUAGCAUAAAUGCAAUAGAAAAAAGAGAAUGGAAACAGAAAAGCUCUUAUUUUGCAGGCAGGAAGACGGCGAGUGGCGAUAAUCUGCCUGUACACAGAGCAGCUCGGAUGCAAAGACGCGUCCUUCCCGCAGAGCCCCCCUGAAACCUGCCUGAAAACCCUCCCUUUGCUGAUCAUUGGCUUUUAUAAUUGCCAGGACACUGCAGGUUUUGCAGUGCCAUUCUGCCGUGCAGAUCGUGGCGAAACGCCGAGCUGCUCACCUUGUCUUUGCCGCAGUCGCACUGCU